rfam:Zea mays cultivar B73 chromosome 1, whole genome shotgun sequence.
GAAAAUGGAGGAUGAUGUGCUAUAUACAAGCAGUAUCCCUAUAAACUUUAGGAACACCAUAAUCAUCGUUAUUGGGUGAACUGUUGAUCAUGUUCAUGCGUAGGGCACCUCCAUGUCAGUUGCUUCAGUAAAUGAUGACACUUUU